AACGAACGCUGGCGGCAUGCCUAACACAUGCAAGUCGAACGAGACCUUCGGGUCUAGUGGCGCACGGGUGCGUAACGCGUGGGAAUCUGCCCUUCGGUUCGGAACAACAGUUAGAAAUGACUGCUAAUACCGGAUAAUGACGUAAGUCCAAAGAUUUAUCGCCGAAGGAUGAGCCCGCGUAAGAUUAGGUAGUUGGUGGGGUAAUGGCCUACCAAGCCGACGAUCUUUAGCUGGUCUGAGAGGAUGAUCAGCCACACUGGGACUGAGACACGG
rnacentral:rRNA from 1 species